rnacentral:rRNA from 1 species
GUGGGGAAUAUUGGACAAUGGGGGGAACCCUGAUCCAGCCAUGCCGCGUGUGUGAAGAAGGCCUUUUGGUUGUAAAGCACUUUAAGCGAGGAGGAGGCUACCGAGAUUAAUACUCUUGGAUAGUGGACGUUACUCGCAGAAUAAGCACCGGCUAACUACGUGCCAGCAGCCGCGGUAAUACAGAGGGUGCAAGCGUUAAUCGGAUUUACUGGGCGUAAAGCGCGCGUAGGUGGCCAAUUAAGUCAAAUGUGAAAUCCCCGAGCUUAACUUGGGAAUUGCAUUCGAUACUGGUUGGCUAGAGUAUGGGAGAGGAUGGUAGAAUUCCAGGUGUAGCGGUGAAAUGCGUAGAGAUCUGGAGGAAUACCGAUGGCGAAGGCAGCCAUCUGGCCUAAUACUGACACUGAGGUGCGAAAGCAUGGGGAGCAAACAGGAUUAGAUACCCCUGUAGUCC